UCAAUCUCAGCUAGAUCAAGCCUGAGGCGUUUAAACCUAACCGGAGUCCACUUGGGUCGGGUUGGCAUCGGGUCAGGUCUAAUCAGGUGCCGGCUACAAAUCAAAGCUCUGGUGUGCCCUUCUAAAUUGAUAAACUGCUUUCAACUUGAAAGCACUGUGUCCUGCUAAAAAAAAAAAAAAAAAAAAGAAGACAGCCGGUGCCUGUUGUGAAGCAACCGGCUUUUCCAUUGGCUUUAUGGCUUCUUAAUAUUUAUAGUUUGAUUAAAUCACAAUGCUGUGAACAGGCUUUGCUCGCAGAUCUAGAAUCCUUCUUCUUCCUUCACCUUCUAAUCCCUCGUCUCCCUUCGCUCUCCUCCAGAUGAUUGAGAAAGCACAAAGACAGCCAUGAGCAUUUAGUUCCAGACUGAUGAUCCAGGUCUUGGAGGAGGUGGUGAGGCGGCAUGGACUGACAGAGCUCCAAGUGAUGGAGCAAUCACUCAUGGCACGGGGCUGUAAACAACACCCUCGCCCAACAAGGAGGGGACAUUAACUACACAAUGAAGAUGGAACUGCAGCAGAGCAGGUGACAAGUCCUGUGAGUUCACCUACACCACAUGAAAGCAAGUGGAGGAGAUUAAAAACAUGACAGCGGCUGCAGGCAAAGCUUAAACCUGGAGGAGGAACAACAAGCACUCCUUCAGUUCCACUGGUCCAUAUAGUCACAGAAACCAGAAACAGAUGUGCCCCAGAUGUGAAUCCGCCCUGGAGACCUCAACUCUGCACCAGUUUGCUGAUGAUAUCUGAGAGACCUCUGGAGCCUUCCAAAGAACAG